UAGUGUAUAUAACCUAGUCUCUACUUUUGUCUAACCUUAUGCUAGUUAUGUUAUAGUAUUUUUACAAGUUUCAGGAGUUUGAGGUAGGGUUAAGGUAGUUAAGUUGACUACGUUUACUGAGUUGUAGUUGAGAUAGUGGUAGUUGACAAUUAUCUCCCUAGGUUCAGUGAGUUGUAGUUAAGAUAGUGGUAGUUGACUAGUAUCUCCCUAGGUUCAGUGAGUUGUAGUUAAGAUAGUGGUAGUUGACUAGUAUCUCCCUAGGUUCAGUGAGUUGUAGUUGAGAUAGUGGUAGUUGACAAUUAUCUCCCUAGGUUCAGUGAGUUGUAGUUGAGAUAGUGGUAGUUGACUAGUAUCUCUCUAGGUUCACUGAGUUGUAGUUUACAAUUAUUGUAGUAGAGGUGAAUAUCUGGUAGAGGUUCUACUUCUGAUCAGGGAGAAAGUAGGUUCAUGGUAGCCUAGGACCUAGGUUACAUGGUAUCUCCGUAUUUUUUACAAUGUUAGUUUUUAAUUUCGAUUUAAUUGAGAUGGAUAGUAUGACUAUACGUUCAGUAGGUUUAGCGGCUAGUAGUGGGGGGUUUGGUCUUAGCGUUGCAAAGAGUUUUAUAAUAACGUCAAUAGCCGUUUUAGCUCAUCAAUAAUAUAAAAAAAAUUCAAAUUUUAACAUUCAAAAAAAAAAAAAAUAUUGAAAAUCGGAAUAUUCUGUCAGAUCAUCUUUUCAGAUUUUAUUCUGUGCGGGAUGGAAGUGAUCCUUCCAUCGAACUCGCUAAAACGUUUUCUUAUUAAAGUUUUUAACAUUUCUUCUUUUGGAAGACAUUUUCGUACGUAUAUAAUUUCUGAUGUACGUUGAUGCGGAUGUUGGAUGUCUCCUUAACUUUCAAUGGGUCAAUUCUGCGACACAUCAAUGGUUGCCACCUUGUGGCCCACAAUUAAUAGGUUAUUCUUUCACUAAUGAUUAUAACAUAAAUAUUCAUGGCUAAA
rnacentral:lncRNA from 1 species